rnacentral:rRNA from 1 species
UAAUACCCCAUAUGCUUUCGAGUGAAAUGGAUUUAUAUUUAUCCGCCUAGAGAGAAGCUCGCGGCUGAUUAGCUUGUUGGUAAGGUAAGAGCUUACCAAGGCGACGAUCAGUAUCUGGUUUGAGAGGACGAUCAGACACACUGGAACUGAGACACGGUCCAGACUCCUACGGGAGGCAGCAGUGGGGAAUUUUCCGCAAUGGGCGAAAGCCUGACGGAGCAAUACCGCGUGAGGGAAGACUGCCUAUGGGUUGUAAACCUCUUUUUUCAGGGAGGAAUCAAUGACGUGUACCUGAAGAAUAAGCAUCGGCUAACUCCGUGCCAGCAGCCGCGGUAAGACGGAGGAUGCAAGUGUUAUCCGGAAUCACUGGGCGUAAAGCGUCUGUAGGUGGUUUAAUAAGUCAACUGUUAAAUCUUGAGGCUCAACUUCAAAAUCGCAGUCGAAACUAUUAGACUAGAGUAUAGUAGAGGUAAAGGGAAUUUCCAGUGGAGCGGUGAAAUGCGUAGAUAUUGGAAAGAACACCGAUGGCGAAAGCACUUUACUGGGCUAUUACUAACACUCAGAGACGAAAGCUAGGGUAGCAAAUGG